rnacentral:rRNA from 1 species
AAAGGUAAGCUACUAAGAGCGAAUGGUGGAUGCCUUGACUGGUAGAGGCGAUGAAGGACGUACUAGACUGCGAUAAGCUAGGUGGAGCUGUCAAGAAGCUUUGAUGCCUAGAUUUCCGAAUGGGGCAACCCAGUAUAUAGAGAUAUAUACUACCAUAAUGGAGCGAACGAGGGGAAUUGAAACAUCUUAGUACCCUCAGGAAAAGAAAUCAAACGAGAUUGCGUCAGUAGCGGCGAGCGAAAGCGUAAGAGGGCAAACCCAGUGCUUGCACUGGGGGUUGUAGGACUGCAAUGUGCAAGAGGAAAGGUUAGCAGAACACUCUGGAAAGUGUAGCCAUAGAGGGUGAUAGUCCCGUAUGCAAAAACCUAACCUUAGCUAGCAGUAUCCUGAGUAGGGCGGGACACGAGAAAUCCUGUCUGAAGCUGGGUAGACCACUAUCCAACCCUAAAUACUACUACCAGAUCGAUAGCGAACAAGUACCGUGAGGGAAAGGUGAAAAGAACGGCGGUGAGCCGAGUGAAAUAGAACCUGAAACCAUUUGCUUACAAUCAUUCAGAGCACUAUGUAGCAAUACAGUGUGAUGGACUGCCUUUUGCAUAAUGAGCCUGCGAGUUGUGGUGUCUGGCAAGGUUAAGCUAACGCGAAGCCGUAGCGAAAGCGAGUCUGAAUAGGGCGCUAAGUCAGAUGCUGCAGACCCGAAACGAAGUGAUCUAUCCAUGAGCAGGUUGAAGCUAGUGUAAGAACUAGUGGAGGACCGAACCCGCUAGCGUUGAAAAGCUAUGGGAUGACUUGUGGAUAGGGGUGAAAGGCCAAUCAAACUUCGUGAUAGCUGGUUCUCUCCGAAAUAUAUUU